GUAUUUCCGGAGUCCCUUCUGAGACCGAAGGUUGUGUUGGGGAACUGAAGCAGUUUCUGUGCGCGGACAGGGAACCCUGCGUUUCUACUGUGUGAUUCUGCCACCUUCCUGGCCCGACGCCAUGGGAGUGACUUGGUCAGACCGGGAAGCUGAUGUAUGUGAUGCACAACUCAGAGUACCCAUUGAGCUGUUUCGCCCUCUUUGAGAAUGGCCCUUGCCUUAUUGCUGACACCAACUUUGAUGUGCUUAUGGUGAAGCUCAAGGGCUUUUUCCAGAGUGCUAAGGCCAGCAAGAUUGAGACCCGGGGCACCCGGUACCAGUACUGUGACUUCCUGGUGAAGGUGGGCACAGUCACAAUGGGGCCCAGUGCCCGGGGCAUCUCUGUGGAGGUGGAGUAUGGCCCCUGUGUGGUAGCUAGUGACUGCUGGAGUCUCCUGCUCGAGUUCCUACAGAGUUUUCUAGGCAGCCACACACCAGGGGCUCCCGCAGUGUUUGGGAACAGACAUGAUGCAGUCUACGGCCCAGCAGAUACCAUGGUCCAGUACAUGGAACUCUUCAACAAGAUCCGCAAGCAGCAGCAGGUGCCGGUGGCUGGGAUUCGUUAGUGAUGAGCAGCUGCCAGCUGAGCUGUGUCACCAGGGGUACUCCACAGGAGGAGCAGGUGCUGACUUUCAGGUCCCCAGACCCCAGAAACCCAGGGUAGACAUGGACUCUACUCUCCUUCUCUGGUUCCCAGCUGUGGAUUUUGUUCUGGGGUCUGGAGUCCCCUCCCCAACCCCCUGACUCUCACACAUAGCCCCCCAUCAGCUGUUUUACUCCGUGCCUUACUGGAUUUGGCCUGUCCUCAAGAAUGGUAAUUAUGAAGAAUGGAGAAGUUUGGACCCUGCCUCCUUUAGGGGAAAGGUAGGACAGGAAUGUCCCUGCCUGGUACUGGUGGGGGAAAUAGUCCAUAUCCCCAACUAUUGAGGAUUUGUCCCAGGCCGAUGGUGAACAUGCUGCAUUUUAUGUUUGGAUUGUGCUGUAAUAAGAGCCUCUUCCUUUCCUCAGAGGAUGUGGCUGGGCUUCUAUCCUAGAGAUGGAGUAGAAGGCACAACUGGUUUGAUAGUUACUAUUUUCUGACCUGUUUGCUGAAGUGAUUUGCGAAUUGACUUUCCUAGGGUGUUGCCUGAGUCCUUUGAAAUCUCCUUCUGACAUCUUUCCCUUCUGUUGUGAAAUAGUUAAGCCACAGGCCAAACUGCUAUAAGAUCGAAGUUUGUUUUUUUCUCACCUAAUAAUAGAGAGGUAGUCAGAUGGUCUAGGGCAGAUUUAACUCUACAAGGUUAUCAGGAACUUGGUUUCCUUCUGUCUUAUUCAGCCAUUCCCAGUAUGUUUUCUUACCCACAAGAUCAAAGCAGACUCAUCAGCUCCAUAUCUGCAUUCUACUGGGGAAAGAGAGAGAGAAAAAGCACUUUUUAAAAAAAAGAUAUGACUGAGCAUUGCUC
rnacentral:sRNA from 1 species